rnacentral:rRNA from 1 species
CGAAAGCCUGACGGAGCAAUACCGCGUGAGGGAUGAAAGCCUGUGGGUUGUAAACCUCUUUUCUCAAGGAAGAAGUUCUGACGGUACUUGAGGAAUAAGCAUCGGCUAACUCUGUGCCAGCAGCCGCGGUAAUACGGGGGAUGCAAGCGUUAUCCGGAAUGAUUGGGCGUAAAGCGCCUGUAGGUUGUUUAUUAAGUCCGUUGUUAAAGCCUAGGGCUUAACCCUAGAAAAGCAAUGGAAACUAGUAGACUAGAGUAUGGCAGGGGUAGAGGGAAUUUCUAGUGUAGCGGUGAAAUGCGUAGAUAUUAGAAAGAACACCGGUGGCGAAAGCGCUCUACUGGACCAUUACUGACACUCAGAGGCGAAAGCUAGGGUAGCAAAAG